CUGCCAAGCAACACAAGGAGGCUUCCUGUACUCAAGAAAACCCGCUUCCCUGAGGCCAGUUUACAGUGUGCUCAUGAGAACACACAUUCAGACCAAACACCAGUCCAGCUUGAAGAAGGCACCAGGAUGUGAAGUACCCAGUCAAGCCCCGUAGCCGGCACUGGAUGAUCUGGAAAUGGCAUCAUCUCCCUGUUUAUUCUGCCUUGGCUCUGCCCUGUGUCUCGGUCCUUCCAUUUAUCGGUGGCCCACUCUGGAGUCUCUGAGAUCAUGGAACACACUAUGUCACUGAUGAAAAUUUCAGACAAUCAACAAGAAAAAGAAAUUAAAAAACAAAUUGAA